GCGGGUGUGGUGGAACUGGUAGACACGACGGAUUUAGGUUCCGUUGGCGCAAGCCUUGGGGGUUCGAGUCCCUUCACCCGCACCA
rnacentral:tRNA from 1 species